UACGGGGGGAGCAAGCGUUGUUCGGAUUUACUGGGCGUAAAGGGUGCGUAGGCGGUCGGGUAAGUCUGAUGUGAAAUCUCACAGCUUAACUGUGAAACUGCAUCGGAUACUAUUCGGCUUGAGAGUUGGAGGGGGACUGGAAUUCUCGGUGUAGCAGUGAAAUGCGUAGAUAUCGGGAGGAACACCUGUGGCGAAAGCGGCUCACUGGACCACAACUGACGCUGAGGCGCGAAAGCGUGGGGAGCGAACAGG
rnacentral:rRNA from 1 species